rnacentral:misc_RNA from 1 species
GGAAGGAUCAUUAACAAAUUCCAAAACUCGUCGACUGAGUGAUCGCUCAACUUUUGAAUCUUUGUUCCUAUAACUUAGGGGCAACGAGGAGGAAGGUAGGCUUUCAUUCGGAAAACACAACACUAACACUUAUUGACAACUAAUGGAGAAACCACGAUUAAUCGUAAAAACAACUUUUAACAAUGGAUCUCUCGGCUCUUGCAACGAUGAAGAACGCAGCAAACUGCGAAACGUGAUGUGAACUGCACUCUUCGUGAAUCAUCCAAUCUUUGAACGCACUUUGCACCUAGUGGCUUUUGUCACUAGGUAUACUUGUUUGAGUAUCAAAAACAACCUCACCUACCUUUCGGGGCAAGGUGGACUUGAGAUUCGAUAGGAACCGCGAGGAACCCUUCGUCUCUUUAAAUGUGGUGGUCCUUUGUGGGAGGUCUCCGUCUGGAACCUGACAGACUAUUGGGAUAACAUCCUGACGAUCGUCUGUCGGUUCAUUUCAAUUAGACGUUGACUAACCUUGGCCAACCUUGAAGGAACAUGGCGUACCUCUGUUAAACGAUGGUGCUUUAUGUGACUUUACUAGUUGGAUGCCGUAUGGUGUCUAAUUGUGAUAUGAUCUCAAAUCAAGUAAGGAUACCCGCUGAACUUAAGCAUAUCAGUAAGCGGAGGAAAAGAAACUAACAAGGAUUCCCUGAGUAACGGCGAGUGAAACGGGAUGAGCUCAAAUUUAAAAUCUGGCACACUUUGGGUGUCCGAAUUGUAAUUGAGAGGGUCUUCUUUUGGUGAAGGUCAUGGUCAAAGUUCUCUGGAAAGGGACAACAAAGAGGGUGACAUUCCCGUUUGGGUCAUGACUGGAGUCAGUAUAAAGAAGGCUCAAAGAGUCGGAUUGUUUGGGAAUGCGGUCCAAAAUGGGUGGUACAUUUCAUCUAAAGCUAAAUAUAUGCAAGAGACCGAUAGCGAACAAGUACCGUGAGGGAAAGAUGAAAAGAACUUUGAAAAGAGAGUUAAAUAGUACGUGAAAUUGUUAAAAGGGAAACGAUUGAGACCAGUGAUGUGGCAGUCCUUGAGCGAUCCCUUUGGGGUUCGUGUUUGGGCUUGUCACGAGUCGACGCUCCUUUUGAGCCUUGGAAAAGACAAAGGGAAAGGUGGCUCCACCUUCGGGUGGCUGCUUUAUAGUCCCUUUGGGAUACAAGGUUCGGGAGGAGACAGGUAGGGUCGCAAGACUCACGUCGACGAAAUGGUCUUAAACGACCCGUCUUGAAACACGGACCAAGGAGUCUAACAACUAUGCGAGUAUUUGAGUGGCAAACUCGAGUGCGCAAAGAAACUGAACGCGUGGGAUUUGUCCUCUUACGAGGGGUCAAUGCACCAUGGGCCAGUCCUUGUCUUUGACUUGGAUUGCGCUAGAGCAUAUCUGUUGGGACCCGAAAGAUGGUGAACUAUGCCUGAAUAGGGUGAAGCCAGGGGAAACUCUGGUGGAGGCUCGUAGACAUUCUGACGUGCAAAUCGAUGUUCAAAUUUGGGUAUAGGGGCGAAAGACUAAUCGAACCAUCUAGUAGCUGGUUCCCUC